rnacentral:miRNA from 1 species
AAAAGAAGAUAGUUUGAAGAAAGCUGAAAACCUGUAACCAUUGACUUCCAUAGCAUUUGUAUUUUAGACAAUUAAAGUCAAUGGUUACCAGUUUUCAGCUUUCUU